GGGUUCGUGCUGCUGCUUCGGACGGACGCCGUUCACUGAUUGCCUGUGCUGACUGGAUCGGGUUCGUCCUGCUGCUGUUCGUCAUUUGUGAACAGAACAGAUGUCGCCUCCCUGGCCGGGCUUCUCCGUCCUCGCCUCCAUCUACAUCUCUGCUUCAGUUCUCCCCUCCCCCUGUUCCAGUCGCUCUCCCGGUUGAUUGCCCCCGCUGUCACCGCUGUGUACAUAUGUUUUGUUCAUCCGAUAGCCCGUUCUCCCUAAAACCAAUUUUAGGAUGCCUACUCACAUAAUUACGAGAUUUGGAUUAACAAGAUCACAAAGUGUGACUGUAUUGCUGAUUAGGAUAGGAAUCACCUGUGUGACCAUUAUUUGUCCAUAAAUAUUCCAAAUUGUUCCUAAUAAUUUCUUUGCUACCACUUUCUGGAUUACCCAUUCACCUCAAGGCAGCCUGUCUUGUGUCUUUCUGCUACAUGAAACAGGGACACACCACAUUUGGUUUGUCCCAGCAGUAAUGGUGUGGCAAUUUGUCUCAUGGGGCUUCAGCUUAUAUGUUUGUAGGUACCUUUGUGUUUUCUAUAUUUAAUCAAAACGUCUUUUCUGCAGAUUCAACAAGAGUACUCAGCAUAGAGAUAUUGUUUAGUACAAAAUAUCGAGGACCAUUUCUAUCCUGAUCUGGGAUGAAUCAUACUGCAUGGUCAGCAUAUCCUUCUGUUUGAUGGACUAAAUAAAUGACCCCAUGAUUCAUUUUUCUAACUUCUUUCUCCUCUUCUUGGUGAGAGUUUAUAUCAAUUUCAUAUGGAUUUCAGUUCCUAUAUCAUUGUACUGAAUCAUUACAAAGGGAUUUUGGAUCAUCAUUGCAUGAUCGUGUUGAUCUGAUAUUUUUGUUUGUCAUUGAUUGCACAAUCUUAUCCCAGAUCAAUUUAGGUUAACAUAGUUGUGCCAUCUUCAUGUGACAUGAAAGAAAUAUAAAAAUUGAACUCACUUGGCUGCCCCCUGCAUAUAUAUCAUAGUACAAAUAGGGCUGAUAGCACAGCAUACAAAAAUAGUUCAUUAUAUUUCCCC